UCUUACAUAGUGCCAGCGAACAUAGAAUGGAUCCCACUAGUCUUACAUUCCUUACCGUACGUAUCACAUCGUCACAUCAUAGAUCGAGGGCUAUGGAUCAUCCAACAUUCAUCCACAUCAACAUUAAAAUGUGCAAUGCAACAUAUUCGUGGAUUCUAAUGCAAACAACCUAAAACAUCACAUGGCAUUCAUGAUGCAUGAACAUGCUCAAAACUGUACAAUUGAUUUACUUAAAAACAUAAAGGUUUAUUCCACUCACCUCUGGAUAGCUCUGACCAGACACUGGAGCAGCUGACUCACUGCUGGGGUCCUCGGUUCCUCGG
rnacentral:lncRNA from 1 species